rnacentral:rRNA from 1 species
UCGGGAAUUUUGGGCAAUGGGCGAAAGCCUGACCCAGCAACGCCGCGUGAAGGAUGAAGUCUUUCGGGAUGUAAACUUCGGAAGGAUGGGAAGAAUAAUUUUAGGUCAAUACCUUGAAAGAUGACGGUACCAUCUUUAAGCCCCGGCUAACUACGUGCCAGCAGCCGCGGUAAUACGUAGGGGGCAAGCGUUGUUCGGAUUUACUGGGCGUAAAGGGCGCGUAGGCGGCGUGGUAAGUCACUUGUGAAAUCUCCGGGCUCAACUCGGAACGGUCAAGUGAUACUGCUGCGCUAGAGUGCGGAAGGGGCUACUGGAAUUCUCGGUGUAGCGGUGAAAUGCGUAGAUAUCGAGAGGAACACCUGAGGCGAAGGCGGGUAGCUGGGCCGACACUGACGCUGAGGCGCGAAAGCUAGGGGAGCGAACGG